GAUGAACGCUGGCGGCGUGCCUAAUACAUGCAAGUCGAGCGAACAGACGAGUAGCUUGCUCCUUUUACGUUAGCGGCGGACGGGUGAGUAACACGUAUGUAACCUACCUAUAAGACUUGGAUAACUUCGGGAAACCUGAUCUAAUACCGGAUAAUAUUUCGAACCGCAUGGUUCUAUAGUGAAAGACGGCUUUUCUAUCUCUUAUAGAUGUACCUGCGCCGUAUUAUCUAGUUGUUAAGGUAACGGCUUACCAAGGCAACGAUACGUAGACGACAUGAGAGGGAGAUCGGCAACACUGGAAAUGAGACACGGUACAGAAUACUACGGGAGGCAGCAGUAGGGAAUAUUCCGCAAUGGGCGAAAGCAUGACGGAGCAACGCCGAGUGAGUGAUGAAGGUCUUCGGAUCGUAAAAAACUGUUAUUAGGGAAGAACAAAAGUGUAAGUAACUGUGAACGUAUUGACGGUACCUAAUCAGAAAGCAACGGCUAACUACGUG
rnacentral:rRNA from 1 species